rnacentral:lncRNA from 1 species
UAGGAACCUUCGACACUGCGGUGGAUGCGGCCAAGGCAUAUGACAGGGCGGCGUUUAAGCUUAGAGGCAGCAAAGCAAUAUUGAAUUUCCCACUUGAAGUUGCUAACUUUAAGCAACAAAAUCAUGAUGAUGAGAUUAAAACAUCAGGGAAUAAAAGGGUGAGAGAAACAGAGCAAUUAGUUAUCAACAAGGAAAGGAAAAUAGAAGAAGAAGAAAGAAUAGUCCCAACAGCGGCAGCUCCAUUAACACCGUCAAGUUGGUCGACGAUUUGGGAUGAAAAAGGUAUCUUUGAGGUGCCGCCACUGUCACCAUUGUCUCAUCUUGUAAUGAUAUAAUUUGGGAUUAUUAGUAUUUGAUGAAUAUGCACCUGACUAUAAACUAAGUCUGAGGUGAAUUAGGAUUAGAAUGAUGUGUCUUUGGAUCUUCAAUAUUUAGUAAUUUCAUUGAUUAAGCGUUAUUUAAUGUAAAUAUGCAAUCAAUCUAAAAUUUGUUCAUUUUAUAAUAUGGAAAUUUUAAAGCAUAGACAUUUAUAUGAAGCAGCUUGUCUCUUGCACCAAUUUUAUUAAAACUAUUUUGUGGACUUGUAAGGGAUUAAGUCCAAGUGGAAGGCUUUCCCAUAAUUCUAUCUCCAACACAAAUCCCAAAUUUUAUACCAAAAAAAAAUAUUUUUUUCUCUCUUCAUUAUUAUAUUAUUAUUUCUUAUUUCAUUUGCAUUUUUUUAUUUCAUAAAACAAAUUCUUUCUAAAACAUUCACCAUAUAUAAUUUAUAUUAUUUUCUUUUAUAAUCGUUAUAUUUAAAAUUAUUUUGUACCAUAAUUUUUUAAAUAAAUAUAAAUUGCUAGCAAAUAUUAUACAUUAUACAUAAUAAUGGAUAAUACAAAUAAAAGUGAAAUCAUUAAUGAAAUACAAUUAAAUAAACAUUACAUAAUUAAAAAAAAAAAUUAAAAUCUACAUAAAUAUUCAACUUUCAAGAUCACUACGAUGCUCCCAUAAAUGCUCUAUUAAUGCAUUAGGUAGUUCAAAAUGAGCAAUGUUUGCAAUUUUAAUUUUUGUGAAGGUUAAUUGUAGUUAUCUCCAAUUAUAAUUUAUAGUUGAAUUAACAUAAAUUUAAUUUUUUUUUAAAAGUCAUAUAUAGAAAAAUUAUUUUAUAAAAAAGCUGAAUUUUAUAUCUAAAAUUAAUAUUAUAAAAAUAUUACAUAAAAAAUAAUUAAAUAUACAAGAGAUUUAAUUAAAACAUACAAUUAUAUAUUUAAUUAAAAGCUUGUAUAAUGAAAUAAUAUUAAAUUAUUGAAAAAGUGAAUAAGUGUGAUGAAUAGUGUUACAUCAAAUUUGGUGUAAAAAUUGGUGUGGGUUGGAGCUCAAAACAUCAAAUUUUACACUAAAUUCUAAAUUUGGUGUAAAAUUUGGUGUUGGGUUGGAGAUGGUCUUAAGGCAUAGUAACAGUAAAAACUGUUAAGAAGUCCCACAUCGAUAGAGGGAUAAGAAUUUGGUCUUCUUAUAUAGACUUGGACAAACCUUCUCUCAUAAGCUAGUUUUUUAUGUUGAGUUAGACCCAUGUGUCAUAUCAUUACAUGGUAUCAAAGCCAAACACAUCCCAAUUUGUUGUUCACCGAUGUUGGGCCUCCGUUCACCGAUGUUGGGCCUCCAUUUAGAAGUGUUCACGUUCAAGUUGAGGUUUGGCCGUGUAGGGGAGUGUUAAGAAGUCUCACCUCGAUAGAGAGAUGAAAAUUUGGUCUCCUUAUAUAGACUUGUACUCAUGAGCUAACUCUUGGAGUUGAGUUAGGCACAUGUGCAUAUCUUUACAAAAACAGCGCAUGGAAUUGUAAGGAGAUCGGCGUGCUGAGCCUUUGACGGAACAUAUAAGAGAGAUAAGGUAUCACGCUCGAAGCAUAUAUCCUGCACAUUGCCUGCACUCAGAAUCAUUAUUGAUCCAAGUAAAUUCUUGGUCUGGCUUACUAUUAUAUUGAGAGCUAUAAUUAUGUGAAAGUUUUUCAAAGAUGAGCAUGUAAUAAAUUGAUAGUUAAAAAUUAAGAUCUUUAUAAUAUGAAUAUGUUUCUAAAAUAAUGGUGAAAAUUAUAAUUCAAUUGAUCAGUCUAUGAAGCCUCUAACAUAUUGAAGAUAAAUUAUUGGGAGAAGAUCCCAGACCUAAAUACUCCAUUAAUAAUAUAUAUGAACAACAAAUAUGCUAGAUAAACUGGAGCCAUGCGAAAGUAAAAAGGUCUCACCAAAAUUGGAUGAAAGUAAUCCUAGUAAUGCUUCUGAUGCGUGAAUAUCUAAAUCUGCAUCAUAAUAUAAUGCUUCGCCAAAUGACAUUAAUAAAUAAAAUGUACGGUAUGUAAAAUAAUUGAAUGUAACAAUAGGCUAAAACUGAACAUAUUGAGUUGAAUGAAUAAUUGUGAAGAUAGACUGAAAUAAAGUCAAAUUGAUAGUAAUGCAUGUAUGUGUACAUUAACAACAAAACUUUAUUACUGAAAAUAUGCAUCAACAAUAUACUGAAAAUAAUAUAACUUUAUUUUUCUUGAAAAAAAAUUCUAACCUACAACCAUCACGUGAAUUUCAUGAUGAUACAACAUUUUACCUAUAUUGUCAAAAGCAUCCUAUACCUUGUCAAGAUGAAAGAUAAACUUAACUAAUAAAUCUAAUUUCUAAGCCCUCUGUAGAACUUCUUGAAAAGUCGCCUGAAUCAACGACACGCCUAUCCUAUGUUGAUGACACAUGUGAACCCUUAUCCACUCGAUACUCAAUAUCAAGUCCUUUUCCCUAAUUCUAUAAUAACAAAUGUUGUCUAAUUCAAUUGAAUUUGUCCGAUUAUGUAUACUACUAAUUACUGGUAAAGGACAAAAAGGCAACAACCUGGAUAAUUCCCUAUAGUUGAUUAAAGGAAAAAACCUUUUGCAAGUUGAAUGAAUAUGGUUGAUUGCCUUAUUGGAGUUGACGUUGACUGCAAGUAAAGGUAGAAAAUGGGUGGGUUGACUGAAUUGCUAGGAUCGGAAUGAGUUGAAUUAAUAAAUAGAUGUAUUAUUGAUUCGUUUAAAAAUUAUUUGAGUGAAAUAAAUUAAAAUAUGAGUCAUAAUUCAGCCUGUUCGACUCUGACUAAGUUUAAUAGUUUUUUUUUUUGUUCUUUUAUCUUUUUAGCAUCUUAUUAAAUUAUUAUUUUUUUGUAUUAUGAUUAUAUGUAACAUAUCAAAUAAAAUAAAAUAUUUUGUCAUUUUUUUAUUAAUUUAGAUUAGAUAUCAGUCCAAAUCUCGAUGGACUGAAAUAGAUUGGACUGAGCUAAUAUAUAAAUGUUUCUUACGUACUGUACAACUAAAGAAAUCAACAAAAACGGUCAUAUGUAUAUGCAAUGGAUCGAUAUUAUAUAAAUAGUAUAUAAUCAUGUAUAUAUGAUGUAUAUUUAUAUGUCAGAAAUGUAUAUACUUCCAUAUAUGUUGUUGAUACAAUAUUUAUAAAUUUACAGGCUACUUUUUUUCAAUUCGGACCAAAUCAAAUCUCCUCUAAACAUCUCAAAAUUUACAUAGGAACAUCUCUCGAUAUUUUUGAGCCUUUUGAUAUAUUAUUCACUUGAAACGAUUCAUGUUUGUGACACAUCAAAUUUUAAAAUCAAACUUUAAAGAAGCUUUAAUGGUUGAACAUUGAGUCUCUUAAUCCAAACCAACUCAAAACCUCCUCUAAAAUGUUCAAAAUUUUAAAUAUGAGCUCAAGGAAGGAGGAGAAUGGAAUGAGUAAAUAUCUCAAAAGGUCACUCAACUGUGAGAAAUUGGGUAACAAAGUCAUUCAACUUUAACUUGUUUCAAUAAAAUCACUCAACUUAAAGAUUUCCUCUUAUAAUAUCACUCAAUCAAAUUUAUCACUAUAAAAUAUGAGUAAAAAAUUAAAUUAUUUGCUUAUGCCAUGUAGACAUGAACUCUAUAUAAAAUAAAAUUUAAAGACCCAAUAAAAUUCUCUAUUUCUUUCUUUUAAUUUCUUUUUCCAAGAAACUAACAUGCACUGUUUCUAAUUCUUUAGUAUCAUAACUUUAAAUUCAAUUAUGUAUGACCAUUGUUAGUUAAAUCUUUCCUCUUUUCCUAGGAACUUUUUAACAAAUGGAAAAAAAUUACGGUGCCUAGACCCAACAUAUGUUACGAUCAAAUUAUUAUUUAACUAUUUUUUUUACGUUGAUUAAGUAGUGUUUAUUUGAUUCAUCCAACUUGACUUAGCUGAAAAAUAAGACACUUCGAUUAAGAUAUGAGAUUGAUCUGUUGAAACAUAAAUUUAAAGAAAAUUAGAGAAGAAGCGUAGAGUGGGGAAUACGGGUUUUAGAUAAAAUUAUGUUGAUUUGUGGUGGGUUGGAUGGGUGGGUCGUACAUAAAAUAUGGGUCUUUUAAAUUGAGUGAUUUUAUUGAAACAAAUCAAAGUUAAAUGACUUUGUUAUACAAUUCUUCAUAGUUGAGUAAACUUUUGAGAUAUUUACUCGGGAUGGAAUGAAGAAGAAGAAAAGAAAGGCAACCAAAAUUGUACUUUGUUGGCCAUGAAUAGAGCCAAAUGAUAAUUUUUGAGUUAUUAAUGAUAAUUGAGUCAUUUCGGAUAAGAAAUUUUAAUUUGAAAAGUAUUUCGUUUAAUUUAUCAAUAAUAAUUGGUUGACUUAAACUGUAUAUAUAAGAUGAAUUAUAAUUUUAUGGACUAAUUUUAUCACAGCAAAAAUGAUGGUUACGUUACCGUUAUUAUUAUUUAUAUUAUCUCCUACAUUAUAUUUUGUAAGCGUUAAUGCCGUUGAAAAGUAGGUUUCGAAAGGAGCAAUAAAGUCAAGUGAUGGGGCCCUUUUUGCCUUUGGUCAAUUCACGUGUUAUGUUUUAUGUUUAAUUGCGGCUUUCCUGCUCUUAUAUGCGUCAUUUUAAUGACUUAAAAUUAUGUGCAAUGAUAAUUUAUAAUAUAUUCUUACAAAUGAAUUAUUUUCAUUUUAAAAAAAUAAUAUUUCGUAUCAUUGAUUGCUAACAUGUAAUGAAUAGUAAAUAAUUUGUCAUGAGAUAAUUAUUAUAUUAGCGAUAAAUUAAUCCUUAUUUAAAUAGUUAUGUAUGAAUGUUUUUAAAAUGUUUUAGAUCUAUGCAUUCUGAUAUAAUAAAAAAAAACAUACGUUACUUAAAAUUAAUUACAAGUAAGGAAACAAAAAGACCAAAAUAGCACAUUUCAGCACUUUGUUUCAAGCAGUAAUCUUUAAAUAUAUUUCAAUACUUCCUCCGUUCUAAAAUAGUUAUCUUAUUUCACUCAUUGAAAAUGAAAAUCAAUUUAGCUAAUUUUUAUACUCCCGAUAAACAACCCCUUAUUUUAUUAUUUUAGUGAAGCAAUAAACUAUGAGAGGGACUAGGAUUUUGGAUUAAAGCGCAGGAUGCUUCGUUUCUCCACCUGAGAAGGCUCGUAUGAAACCUCAUCUCUUCAUUUCUUCUCUUUAUAACUCAUCCUCCACACACUCUCUUUUCCACUCAAUUUUCUCUUCAACUUUGAAUUUAAACAUAUAUAUAGUUGACACUAGUUACUUUCUCCAACUGAAAUUAUUUUCUUUGUUUGAUUAGUUGAAUGACACUAGUUACUUUCUCCAACUGAAAUUAUUUUCUUUGUUUGAUUAGAAGAAGAAAAAUGGGUUCAUCACCACAAGGAACUUGUAGCUCACUUGAUUCCAUUAGGGAACAUCUUCUUGAUGAUGAUGUUGCUUUCAUGGAAUAUUACUGCUCUAACACUUGUUUCUCUUUUGAAACUACUCAAACCUCGAAAACAGAGUUUGAUGGUUUUUUCGAAAUUGAGGCAAAACCACAUGUUAUCAGCUCAAAUUCUCCGAAGCAGAGUAACUUCAAAGAACGCAAGCCAUCUCUGAACGUUGCAAUACCCGCGAAGGCUGUUGUUGUAGAGAAAGUGGAAGUUGAGAGUGAGAAGAAGCAUUACAGGGGAGUUAGACGAAGGCCAUGGGGGAAGUUUGCGGCGGAGAUUCGUGACCCGAAUAGAAAGGGGACUCGGGUUUGGUUAGGAACAUUUGAUACUGCUGUGGAUGCGGCAAAGGCAUAUGACAGGGCAGCGUUUAAGCUUAGAGGCAGCAAAGCAAUAUUGAAUUUCCCACUUGAAGUUGCAAACUUUAAGCAACUCCAAAAUGAUGAUGAUGAUGAUGUUGAGAUUCCACAGCCGGUGAACUCAUCAGGCAAUAAUAAAAGGGUGAGAGAAACAGAGCAAUUAGUUAUCAACAAGGAAAGAAAAAUAGAAGAAGAAAGAGUCAUUCCGAUGGCACCUCCAUUAACACCAUCAAAUUGGUCGACGAUUUGGGAUGGAAAAGGUAUUUUUGAGGUGCCACCAUUGUCACCAUUGUCUCAGCUUGUAAUGAUAUAAUUUGGGAUUAUAAGUAUUUGAUGAAUAUGCACCUGACUAUAAACUAAGUCUGAGGUGAAUUAGGAUUAGUUUUAUGAGUGUUUGGAUCUUCAAUCGUCAUUUAAUGUAAAUGCGCAAUCAAUCUAAAUUUGUUCAAUUCAUA